rnacentral:rRNA from 1 species
GUCGAGGAUCUUCCGCAAUGGGCGCAAGCCUGACGGAGCGACGCCGCGUGGAGGAUGAAGGCCUUCGGGUUGUAAACUCCUUUCAAGUAGCGAAGAAUAGCCAUGGGGAAACACUUCAUGGUGUGACGGUAGCUGCAGAAGAAGCUCCGGCUAACUCCGUGCCAGCAGCCGCGGUAAUACGGAGGGAGCGAACGUUGCUCGGAUUCACUGGGCAUAAAGGGCGCGUAGGCGGUCUCGUAAGUCGAGUGUGAAAGACCCUGGCUCAACCAGGGGAACGCGUUCGAGGACUGCGGGGCUGGAGGCCGAGAGGGGUGAGUGGAACUCCUGGUGGAGCGGUGAAAUGCGUAGAUAUCAGGAAGAACACCGGUGGCGAAGGCGACUCACUGGCUCGGUUCUGACGCUAAGGCGCGAAAGCUAGGGGAGCAAACGGGAUUAGAUACCCCGGUAGUCC